rnacentral:rRNA from 1 species
GAUGAACGCUGGCGGCGUGCCUAAUACAUGCAAGUCGAGCGAACAGACGAGGAGCUUGCUCCUCUGACGUUAGCGGCGGACGGGUGAGUAACACGUGGAUAACCUACCUAUAAGACUGGGAUAACUUCGGGAAACCGGAGCUAAUACCGGAUAAUAUAUUGAACCGCAUGGUUCAAUAGUGAAAGACGGUUUUGCUGUCACUUAUAGAUGGAUCCGCGCCGCAUUAGCUAGUUGGUAAGGUAACGGCUUACCAAGGCAACGAUGCGUAGCCGACCUGAGAGGGUGAUCGGCCACACUGGAGCUGAGACACGGUCCAGACUCCUACGGGAGGCAGCAGUAGGGAAUCUUCCGCAAUGGGCGAAAGCCUGACGGAGCAACGCCGCGUGAGUGAUGAAGGUCUUCGGAUCGUAAAACUCUGUUAUUAGGGAAGAACAAAUGUGUAAGUAACUAUGCACGUCUUGACGGUACCUAACCAGAAAGCCACGGCUAACUACGUG